rnacentral:rRNA from 1 species
GCCCAGACUCCUACGGGAGGCAGCAGUGGGGAAUAUUGCACAAUGGGGGGAACCCUGAUGCAGCAACGCCGCGUGGGUGAAGAAGUACUUCGGUAUGUAAAGCCCUGUCAGCAGGGAAGAAAAUGACGGUACCUGACCAAGAAGCCCCGGCUAACUACGUGCCAGCAGCCGCGGUAAUACGUAGGGGGCAAGCGUUAUCCGGAUUUACUGGGUGUAAAGGGAGCGUAGACGGCAAGGCAAGCCUGAUGUGAAAGCCCGCGGCCCAACCGCGGGACUGCAUUGGGAACUACCGGGCUGGAGUGCCGGAGAGGUAGGCGGAAUUCCUAGUGUAGCGGUGAAAUGCGUAGAUAUUAGGAGGAACACCAGUGGCGAAGGCGGCCUACUGGACUGUAACUGACGUUGAGGCUCGAAAGCGUGGGGAGCAAACAGGAUUAGAUACCCCUGUA